rnacentral:rRNA from 1 species
AACGAACGCUGGCGGCAGGCCUAACACAUGCAAGUCGAGCGAAGCCUUCGGGCUUAGCGGCGGACGGGUGAGUAACGCGUGGGAACGUGCCCUUUGGUACGGAAUAGCCCCGGGAAACUGGGAGUAAUACCGUAUGUGGUCGAGAGACGAAAGAUUUAUCGCGAAAGGAUCGGCCCGCGUUGGAUUGGGUAGUUGGUGGGGUAAUGGCCAACCAGGCCGACGAUCCAUAGCUGGUUUGAGAGGAUGAUCAGCCACACUGGGACUGAGACACGGCACAGACUCCUACGGGAGGCAGCAGUGGGGAAUCUUAGACAAUGGGGGAAACCCUGAUCUAGCCAUGCCGCGUGAUCGAUGAAGGCCUUAGGGUUGUAAAGAUCUUUCAGUGGGGAAGAUAAUGACUGUACCCACAGAAGAAGCCCCGGCUAACUCCGUGCCAGCAGCCGCCGUAACAC